rnacentral:rRNA from 1 species
AUGCCCACUUCCUCCCCCUCGUUUGUGUCGGCGGAGGAGGAGAUGAGGAACUGGGCGGAGCUGCCGCCGGACGCGAUCUCAACCAUCCUCCAGAAGCUCGACCACGUCGACAUCCUGAUGGGGGCCGGUCAGGUGUGCCGCUCCUGGCGCGGCGCCGCCCGCGACGAGCCCGAGCUAUGGCGCCGCAUCGACAUGCUGGGCCACGCCGACCUCUCCCCCGAGCUCAACCUCCACGGGAUGGCGCAGGCCGCCGUCCGCCGCAGCGCGGGGAGAUGCGAGGCGUUCUGGGGCGACUACACCGACGACCACGACUUUCUCCUCUACCUCGCCGACCAGGCACCAUCUCUCAAGAGUCUUCGCCUCAUUUCUCGCUAUAAUUUUGAUAAAGUACUUAAGGAGAUGAUAGUGAAAUUCCCUUUGCUCGAGGAGCUCGAGCUUUCAUUAUGUUCAGAUGUGGGUGAGAGUGGUGUGUUUGGGGUUGUUGGCAAAGCAUGCCCACAACUGAAACGCUUCAGACUGAAUAAGGACGUGUUCUAUGAUUUUGAAGCUAGUGACAAUGACAGGGACGACGAAGCCAUGGGGAUUGCAACUAUGCAUGAGUUACGCUCUUUGCAGUUAUUUGCCAAUCGCCUGACCAAUAAAGGACUGACAGCCAUCCUGCAUAAUUGCCGCCACCUUGAGUCCCUUGACAUUCGUCACUGCUUCAAUGUCUGCAUGGACAACACCCUGCGUGCAAAGUGUGAUAGGAUAAGUACAUUGAGGCUUAUCCUGCCAAGAUUAAGUGAUGUUCGCAUGAGAGGGCAAUUUGUUCGUCGGCAAACAUCUGACAGGGGAUUCCCCAGAAUAAUAUCUUCCUCAUCCAUGGAUGCCCAGGAUGAUCUUUCUGCCAUUGAGAAUCAGGUGUGCAAGCUAAGUGAUGUUCGCAUGAGAGGGCAAUUUGUUCGUCGGCAAACAUCUGACAGAAUAAUAUCUUCCUCAUCCAUGGAUUCUCGGGGUGAUCUUUCUGCCAUUGAGAAUCAGGUGCGCAAGCUAAUCGAUGAUUUGAGAAGCGAUUCCAUAGAAGGUCAAAGAUCAGCGACAUCAGAGAUUCGCCUUCUAGCUAAGCACAACAUGGAGAACAGGAUUGUCAUUGCAGAUUGUGGGGCUAUAAACUUGCUGGUUGGUCUUCUUCAUUCACCAGAUGCCAAGAUCCAAGAAAAUGCAGUGACAUCCCUCCUCAAUCUGUCCAUCAGUGAUAACAAUAAGAUUGCCAUCGUGAAUGCAUAUGCUAUUGAUCCUCUCAUCCAUGUCCUGGAAACAGGGAACCCUGAAGCUAAAGAGAAUUCAGCAGCUACUUUGUCCAGUCUCUCGGUUAUUAAAGAAAACAAAGUGAGGGUUGGACGAUCUGGUGCCGUCAAGCCUCUCGUGGACUUGCUGGUAAGUGGGACCCCGCAAGGAAAGAGAGAUGCAGCUAUUGCAUUGUCUUAUUUAUCCAUAAUUCAUGAGAACAAGGGUCGCAUUGUGCAAGCUGAUGCGGUGAAGCAACUAGUUAAGCUUAUGGAUCCUGCUCUUGGAAUGAUCGACAAAGCUGUAGCUGUCUUGGCAAAUCUUGCUAUGAUACCAGAAGGGAGAACUGCGAUUGGGGAGACACGAGGUAUUCCAGCUCUUGUUGAAGUUGUCGAACUGGGUUCACCGAGAGGGAAGGAAAAUGCUGCCGCGGCAUUGCUUCAGCUAUGCACAAACAGCAGCCGAUAUUGCAGCGUAGUUCUUAAAGAGGGCGCCGUGCCCCCUUUAGUCACACUGUCACAGUCAGGAACACUGCGAGCAAGAGAAACGGCACAGGCUCUUCUCAGCUACUUCCGCAGCCAGAGACAUGGGAGCUCAUUAAGCGUUUCCAAGUGGUUGACCGGUGCUGCGUAUUUAUAG